AACGAACGCUGGCGGCAUGCCUAACACAUGCAAGUCGAACGAGACCUUCGGGUCUAGUGGCGCACGGGUGCGUAACGCGUGGGAACCUGCCCUUAGGUUCGGAAUAACUCCCCGAAAGGGGUGCUAAUACCGGAUAAUGUCUUCGGACCAAAGAUUUAUCGCCUUUGGAUGGGCCCGCGUUGGAUUAGCUAGUUGGUAGGGUAAAAGCCUACCAAGGCGACGAUCCAUAGCUGGUCUGAGAGGAUGAUCAGCCACACUGGGACUGAGACACGGUCCAGACUCCUACGGGAGGCAGCAGUGGGGAAUAUUGGACAAUGGGCGAAAGCCUGAUCCAGCAAUGCCGCGUGAGUGAUGAAGGCCUUAGGGUUGUAAAGCUCUUUUACCCGGGAUGAUAAUGACAGUACCGGGAGAAUAAGCGCCGGCUAACUCCGUG
rnacentral:rRNA from 1 species